rnacentral:rRNA from 1 species
CCUACGGGAGGCAGCAGUGAGGAAUUUUGGUCACUGGCCGUACGGCUGAACCAGCCAAGUCGCGUGAGUGAAGAAGGAUCUAUUGUUUGUCAACUUCUUUUAUAGGGGAAUAAAGGUAUCCACGUGUGGAUCUUUGCAUGUACCCUAUGAAUAAGCAUCGGCUAACUCCGUGCCAGCAGCCGCGGUAAUACGGAGGCUGCGAGCGUUGUACGGAUUUAUUGGGUUUAAGGGGUGCGUAGGUUGUUUUUUAAGUCAGCGGUGAAAGUUUGUGGCUCAACCAUAAAAUUGCCGUUGAAACUGGAAGACUUGAGUGUGUUUGAGGUAGGCGGAAUGCGUGGUGUAGCGGUGAAAUGCAUAGAUAUCACGCAGAACUCCGAUUGCGAAGGCAGCUUACUAAGCCAUAACUGACACUGAAGCACGAAAGCGUGGGGAUCAAACAGGAUUAGAUACCCCUGUAGUC